AGGUCACCUGGCCAGCGUCCACUCACAGGUUGACGGGCAAUUUUUGGCUGCUCACAUGCGACCAGGAUAUUGGUCUUGGCUGGGACUCAGCCGGAACCAUGGCGACUUGGAGUGGUGCGACGGAUCAACUACAUAUGACGCCCCGUGGUAUCUUCCGAAAUUUCCAUAUGCCUGCUCCAAAUUGACGACUGCUGCUGAAGUUUACAUAGACACUUGCGAUACCCUUCGUCCAUCCAUCUGUCAAAAAGGCAAGGCCAGAGAUUCUCUUCCGCUUCUCCCAGCGCCGACAU